AUAUUUACCUAGCAUUAGAGAUACCAUGAUCAUGAAGGUUGUUUUCCCAGGGCAAGGCUUAACUAUUGCACUCCAGAUGUGCUGACCUCUGCAAUUUCUCCAAAUGUGGCAAAGUAGACCAUAAUUUGUGGUAGUUGGGGACUGUUUUCACACUUUUCUCUU